rnacentral:rRNA from 1 species
UACGGAGGGUGCAAGCGUUAUCCGGAUUUGCUGGGUUUAAAGGGUGCGUAGGUGGGCAGGUAAGUCAGUGGUGAAAUCUCCGGGCUUAACCCGGAAACUGCCAUUGAUACUAUCUGUCUUGAAUAUCCUGGAGGUAAGCGGAAUAUGUCAUGUAGCGGUGAAAUGCUUAGAUAUGACAUAGAACACCAAUUGCGAAGGCAGCUUACUACGGGAUCAUUGACACUGAGGCACGAAAGCGUGGGGAUCAAACAGG